AUCUGUGGCCUUGGUUUGUUCACCUGCAAUCUUGGAAAAAUGGGUGGCUGUAUUAUCCCAAAGUGCUGGACACUUACCAACAUCAUCAGGGCUGGAAGCAGGUGAAUUUUCUGUUUACUUCAGAGAAGAACGAUGGGAAAUGGCCUGAUGAGGGGAUCCUGAGCGCCCUUGCAGAGGCUAUCUUUGUUCACACUCCUGGGAGGAAGAACCACAUUAGAACCUUGUUGAUCUUGUGAAGAAAAUGCAGAAAGCCUGGUGUAGGUUAAGUUACCAAGUAAAGAAGAAUGCUGCUCAACUCCUUGUUAUCCCAGAAGAGGCAAUUUCUUAGUACUCCUGAACCUACACUUAUGUCUUUGAACCCCUGGGUGCAUUUUCCAAGGAUCUUUUCUCUUUUAAGAAAACAUUCCAGAACAUCAUAAGUGGUGACUUUAAACUCUUCACCCCUUUCAUUAUCAAAAGAAUGGAUUUCAGAGAAGGAAUGUUCUUACUCUGUGCCUAAUGUGUGCUGGAGCAGAAUGACGCAGCUUCCCGAGAUCCUGGCCAACAUCCCUAAGAGCUCAUUCUGCUGUUUCUUGAAGAACCAAGACUCAGGCAACCAUCUCAGAUGGUGUCCAUGUUUUCAUAUCACUUCUCUACUUAGAAUUUUUCACGGCUUCCCUCAUUGUAAGUGAAGACCAAAGUCUAUACCCCACAGCCCUAUGUGACAUUCCCCUGUGUCCUCUAGACUCCUGCCCUGGGGCCAGCUUCAUCCUUACCCUCUGUACUCCAACUCCCCCAAAGUCCUGUAUUUCCUAUAUCUUUAGGAUCUUCAAACUUACUGGCCCUCUGACUAGAACAGUCCCUGCUGAUCCCAAAACACCCUCAUUACCUAGUUAACUGCCAUUUAUUCUUGAGAUCUCAGCUAAGACUUUACUUCCUCAGGAACCUUCCCCGGAUCAGCCUCUGUUUCUAUUCUAGGUCAAAGUUCCCCGCUUCUCUCCUCCCUGGGACUCAGUCCUGUUCUUCCCAGCACUGACUAUACUUUGUAAUCACAGAUUCAUUCAUCUGUGCUGUUAUCAUCUGUCUCCCCCAAAAGACCUUCACACCACAUUACC